CUCUCUUUGGGGGUCCGAGUUGUAAUUUGCAGAGGAUGCUUUGGCAUUGGCGGCGGUCUAAGUUCCUUGGAACAGGACAUCACAGAGGGUGAGAAUCCCGUACGUGGUCGCCUGCCUUUGCCGUGUAAAGCUCCUUCGACGAGUCGAGUUGUUUGGGAAUGCAGCUCUAAAUGGGAGGUAAAUUUCUUCUAAAGCUAAAUACUGGCCAGAGACCGAUAGCGCACAAGUAGAGUGAUCGAAAGAUGAAAAGUACUUUGGAAAGAGAGUCAAAAAGCACGUGAAAUUGUUGAAAGGGAAGCGCUUGCAGCCAGACUUGCCCGCAGUUGCUCACCUAGGCUUUGGCCUGGGGCACUCUUCUGCGGGCAGGCCAGCAUCAGUUUGGGCGGUUGGAUAAAGGCCUCUGUCACGUAUCUCCCUUCGGGGUGACCUUAUAGGGGAGGCGCAAUGCAACCAGCCCGGACUGAGGUCCGCGCAUCUGCUAGGAUGCUGGCGUAAUGGCUGUAAGCGGCCCGUCUUGAAACACGGACCAAGGAGUCUAACAUCUAUGCGAGUGUUUGGGUGUCAAGCCCGAGCGCGCAAUGAAAGUGAACGGAGGUGGGAACCCUUUGGGUGCACCAUCGACCGAUCCUGAUGUCUUCGGAUGGAUUUGAGUAAGAGCAUAGCUGUUGGGACCCGAAAGAUGGUGAACUAUGCUUGAAUAGGGUGAAGCCAGAGGAAACUCUGGUGGAGGCUCGCAGCGGUUCUGACGUGC
rnacentral:rRNA from 1 species